UUCCCCACAAAUUCUUUGCACAACUGGACCACCACCUAUUUCAUUUAAUGACAAUUUAAGGCAAACAGCAUCCAAAACUGGCAAGACAGCAGAUACCCUGGCUAAUCGUUUUAAGGUUUAUAAUGAGCAGGAACUGCAUGAUGUCAGUUCAUGACGGACUACUGUUAUCAGCGGUCUUUUGGUCUUGCUGCGUGAGCGUGACUUGGGAUUCUUUAGGACCACCCUGAUUGAUAAUCCGGAAGUGCUGACAGAGGAUGCUUUAUUGGCCCUGCAUUCACUGAGGGUCUCUGUUGUCCUGAAGAAUGAAUUGGACACCAUCCACAGCACACGUCCAGACCUUUCUUGUCUUGUUUGGAUUACUGUAUGCUCUUCUUCACAUAAUAUAGAGUAAAGGACUUUGAACUUGUGCAAAAAGUUUUGCUUGGCAUGGAUGAUAGAAAAUAGAAAGUGUCCUUGCAUGGAAACCUUAAAGAAUGAGUUGAUGUAGAGCUUUUUUUUUUUUUUUUACUUAAUAAAGACUGUCACUGGGGUAGUAACUUCAAAACAUGUAUGUACUUUUAAUUAGUAAGGGUGCAUUUUAUUAUAUAUAGGGAUAGUUUGUCCAAACUUAAAAUUCUUUCAUUUACUCACUCUUCACUUUUCCCAAACCUGCUUAAAUAUUUUGCUUCUGUUGAACACAAAAGUUAUUUUAAGGAAAGCUGACAACCUGUAACCAUUGACUUUCUAAUAG